UGGAAAAGGGCACAAGCCCUGAACUAUCCCCCAUGCACAAGACAAACUAACUAAAGUGAUGUUUGAUCUUUAGGAGACAUCGACAGCGAUGGAGCUUCUUCCUCUUCUGUGUCUCUGCCUCCUGACUCGCUCUGGAAUCACGUCUGCUCAACAAAAUGGGCCAGCAGUCAUCAAAGUAGAAGGAGGGGCUGAUGUUGUGUUACCCUGCUCUCUCAGCACCAAGGAGAACAUUGAGUUUAAAGACUUUGACUGGAAGAAAGUUGCUCAGAAAGAUGAUGGUCAGAAGGAGGUGUUCAUGUAUGUUAACGGCAGUCAUUACAACAACGGUCUAGGUGGUCAGAGUGAGCAGAUCAAAGGUCGAGUCUCUCAUUUUCCAGAUGAACUGAAACACGGCAACGCCUCCAUAAUCAUCAGAAAUACAAAGAUAUCUGACAGUGGAAACUACACCUGUGAUUUUCCUCGUCUUCAGCCACCUCAAACAUUCCACAUUGAGCUUGUUGUUGAUCCUAUCUUAAAAGACAGAACAGGGGAAAACAUCCGAGCUCCAAAACCAUUUUUCACAAUACGUAAAACUGAGGAUGGAGUGCUGCUGCAGUGUAAAGUUCAUGGCUCUCCAAAACCUAAAGUAGAGUGGCAGGACAGUGCUGGAAAGAUCCUUCCUGCUGAGGAGCCCCAGGUCUCAGAGAGAGGAGGCCGUUUCUACAUCACUCUCACCACUACUAUGACCAGGGCUGACUUCUAUCGCUGUGUAGCCACUCAGGAGACAAUCCGCCAUCAGAUUUCUACAAGGAUUUAUGUCAAUGCGUACAGCUCUGGACCGCAGACACAUCCUUCAGAUCAAAACUUGAGGAAAGUGAUGAUUGGAGUUGCUGUUGGCGUUCUCGCAGAAUUUCUGUUUUUGUAGGUGUUCGUUUAGCAUCGUCCUGAAAUGGCUCUAACUACAAAAAUCCAGUGACAUAAGGAAUUAUGGACCCCCAUUUGUUGAAGUUUCUGAAAAGGUUCAUUGGGAGACAAAAGUGACCCGGCAGAAAAGGAGCCAGAGCCCCAAUCAACACCAACUUUAAAGUUUAAAUUUAUCUGCAGAUGUGUGUGGUAUUGUACGUCUUUUCUAGUGAGGACCGCUUAGAAUUUUAGAACAAAACAGAUUUUUGGAGAUUGAGGACAUUUUCUCUUCAACUUCUUAAAAGGUCAGUUUAAGAUCUAGAAUUGGCCUUAGUAUGUGGAUAACUUUUCAAAAUUUUGAGUUUUGUGACUAGUGAUAAUGUUAAAAAAGCAAUACUCCCACAUACUCCACACAUAUUGCCUACUAAGGCUGGGCGGUAUAUUGACUUUUCACAAGAUGUGGAAUGAGAAUUUAUUGAUAUGUUGAGUAGAUAUUGAUAUAGUGUUACAUAUAUGACAUUUCUUCUGCUCGUUUAAUCCAAAAGAGUCUCAGCUUUCCAGUCAGAAGUCAGUGUGCAGAAAUAUACAAAUACACCAUUUUAGUUGAAAAUAUAAAAAAAUGUAUACUGCAUGAGAAAAACUGCAUGGCAUUAUCAUCAAAUGUCUGUCUGUAAAGGAGAGACCUGUCGGUCCCCAUAGAACCCAUUUUCAUUCAGACAUCUUGAGGUCAGAGGUCAAGGGAUCCCUUUGAAAAUGGCCAUGCCAGUUUUUCCCCUCGCCGAAAUGUAACCUAACUUUGGAGCGUUAUUUAUCCACCUUCUCUACGAGCAGAGAUGGUAAAAGUACUCACUUCCCGUACUCAAGUAGAAGUACAGAUACUUCUGUUAAAAAAUACUCUGGUAAAAGUAGAAAUACUGAUUUAACCUCUUUAAUCAAGUAAAAGUGAAAAGUACAGGCUUGAAAAUUUACUUAAAGUAUAAAA